GCAGAUCGUUUAAUGCGCAUGCGCCGGCCCAUACCUCCCGAUCUUGCGGCAGUUUACUUCCGCCGGCUAGAUCGGGUGGUAUGGGCCGGCGCAUGCGCAUUAAACACUCUGCUGCCUCUGCCCAUAGUGGGUAAUGGAGUGCGCAGGCGCAAGGAUUAUGUUGAACGGCACAGGUGCCGGAUUUGUCAAUGACGGGAGGAUGGAAUCUGAAGAACCUAGGGCGGGCCAGAGGGGUGAAAGGGGAGGGGUUUGAUUUGAACAGCGCCGUGGGGCAUGGGCACCGGCCGCAUAAACGCCGCCCCCGGGCACCUUCAGAAGCUAAUUAGCAUAUGGAAUAAAAGCGUUUUUAAGAGAAAAUAGGCGAUGGACAGCAAUAUGAAAGAGAAAAAUGUUUCAGGAAG